CGACCGAUUUGAUGUCAUGUUCACUUAAGCAAUCAAGCCUAAUUUCUCAUGUUGGACUCUACAUACUUUGUUUUAAAAUAAAGAUCUCAUACCUCUUCUCUUGCAAUUGACCAACUCCCAAUAAUUUGGUCUUCAAAUCUGGAACAAAAGAAACAAUGGAAAUAGUGUAGAUAAUGUCUUAUUUGGGUUGGAGAGUGAUUUUUCCCUUUCCCAAAACAAAUACCGUGGAGUUAUUACCUAACUUGACAGUGUUGCAAAAGGUUUCGUCUAGUUCAGAAAAAACUCCCUUAUCUCCACACAUGUGGUUGCUGCAACCAGUGUCUAAGUACCACAAAUUUGGUUGUGUUUCUUCAUUCACAUGACACACCAUCAAAAGGGAAACCUCUUCCUCUUGUUCUACAAAAUUGGUCGAUUUUUCUGAUUUUUUUUAUUUAAAUUAGUUUGACAUUUUGGCAGAUAAUGAUCAUACCCGUGGCAUCUAUAAAAUUUACUUUCGUUGAUGAGUUGUUGAGUUAUGGCCUCCUCGUCCUCUUCCUCUUCUUGUUCCUUGAGAUUGACUAUCUCGUUUCUGUUGGUGGUGGUGGUUCCAUUGGUUGUUGUUUCUCUUCUCUUUACCUUCGCACCUACCUCCUAUAGAUAUUGAUGGAUUUCCUAUUGAAGCUUUCAAAGUUUGCUCCUCGUUAUCUUGUUACUUAAUCUUUUGUUCAUGUACCGGAAAAUAGCUGCAGCCAUCUGCGGGAGUUGAAGGGAGGCAGAUCCAUAACCGUCUGGACAGAGGGAGUGCCGAAAGCCGUCUGGGGGUUGAAAUAUUCGGGAAGCAGCCACCUGGAGAAAAACGGCGUAGCCGACUGAAGCAAAAACGGGAGAGGCCGCCAGUUUUUUCGAGGAAGAAAACAGAGAGUCGCGUAGUCGGCUCCGAUUUUUUGCGUGGGUGCUCGUCGGUCAGUGAGCACUGUAAGCCUCCGUCCAUGGGUGUUGCUCGGCGUGGUUCCGACGGUGGACGAUUAUGUCUGACGUGGGGUUGUUCUCAGGCGACGUUGUGUGCGGAUCUCUCGAUAUCAGUGGAUAUCGAAAUUACAGAUUAAUGAAUUGUUGAUUAUUUGUAAUUUGUAAAUUCCUUAUUACUCAUUAAUAAAAUUAAUUCAAGCUGGUUUGGAUAUAGACCAAACUGGUCGAAAAUUUUCAGACCAUUGUUGC